GACGAACGCUGGCGGCGUGCCUAAUACAUGCAAGUCGAGCGGACGAAUCGAAAUCUUGCUUUUUUUUCGUUAGCGGCGGACGAGUGAGUAACACGUGGGCAACCUGCCCUGUAGACGGGGAUAACACCGAGAAAUCGGUGCUAAUACCAAAUAACACGAAAUGUCGCAUGACGUUUCGUUGAAAGACGGCGCAAGCUGCAGCUACAGACUGGACCCCCGGCGCAUUAGCUAGUUGGUGAGGUAACGGCUAACCAAGGCGACGAUGCGUAGCCGACCUGAGAGGGUGAUCGGCCACACUGGGAGUGAGACACGGACCAGACUCCUACGGGAGGCAGCAGUAGGGAAUCUUACGCAAUGGACGAAAGUCUGACGGAGCAGCGCCGCGUGAGCGAAGAAGGCCUUCGGGUCGUAAAGCUCUGUUGUUAGGGAAGAACAAGUAACGCAGUAACUGGCGUUAGCGUGACGGUACCUACCGAGAAAGCCACGGCUAACUACGUG
rnacentral:rRNA from 1 species